UACGAAGGGGGGCUAGUCGUGCUCGGAAUCACUGGGCGUAAAGCGCACGUAGGCGGAUCUUUAAGUCAGGGGUGAAAUCCCAAGGCUCAACCUUGGAACUGCCUUUGAUACUGGGGAUCUCGAGUCCGGAAGAGGUGAGUGGAACUGCGAGUGUAGAGGUGAAAUUCGUAGAUAUUCGCAAGAACACCAGUGGCGAAGGCGGCUCACUGGUCCGGUACUGACGCUGAGGUGCGAAAGCGUGGGGAGCAAACAGG
rnacentral:rRNA from 1 species